UCAAACGCUAUGACGAAGAAAAGUAGCGCUCCCCCUGCUGUUUAGAGAGUUGCGGUCCCGGCUGAAAACCGCAGCACAGCAGCCUGCGUGAAGUUCCCUUCCGAGCGGUUUUGCUGAACCACAGUAGGCAAGAACGGUGUGAGCACCGUUAUCAGGCUCAAAGAGUGUUUGCUCCGAUUGGCACUUGCCAACUUGCAAAAAACAGGGUGGUACCGCAGGUAAUUCCGACUUGUCCCUAUA
rnacentral:ncRNA from 1 species